CAGCCGCGCGGGAAUACGAAGGGUGCAAGCGUUAAUCGGAAUUACUGGGCGUAAAGCGUGCGUAGGCGGUUUGUUAAGUCUGUUGUGAAAUCCCCGGGCUCAACCUGGGAAUGGCAAUGGAUACUGGCAAGCUAGAGUGUGUCAGAGGAUAGUGGAAUUCCCGGUGUAGCGGUGAAAUGCGUAGAGAUCGGGAGGAACAGCAGUGGCGAAGGCGGCCAUCUGGGACAACACUGACGCUGAGGCACGAAAGCGUGGGGAGCAAACAGGAUUAGAUACCCCCGUAGUCCCUGUCUCUUAUACA
rnacentral:rRNA from 1 species